rnacentral:lncRNA from 1 species
AUGCAGGUUCCCUACUUAAAUAACAUACUUCCUAAAAGGGUUUCACAGCUUAGUGAAUACUUAACUCUCUUUUCACCUUUUGGCAUUCCAAAAUCCAGGCCCAAUUCAAUCAAAAAGCUAGAUUGGAAGUGUGUAUUUGGGAAAUUAAAUGGCAACAUGAAUUUCAUCUUUAAUAUAGUGAUUUCUAUAAUGGAAGACUCGGGUUUUUUCUUUGACUUGUUUCUGCUUUUAUGAGGUUUUUUGUUGUUGUUGUUGUUUUGUUUGUGUGUUUUGAGAAUUUAUCAUAGAUCCAAAAGAACUAACGUGCAUUUAUUUGCUUUUCUACUUUUACUACUUUUUAACAAUAUAGUAAUUAAAAGAACAGUUUAAAAAAGGAAAAUUAAAAAUAUAAAGGGAAUUAAUCAUGUAGCAUAAAAACCUGACUUUACUUUCCUACCCUUCCCUCUACCCCAUGCAUAAGUACAAGAAACAACUUAUUAAGGACAUAGAAUUCAGGUAAUGUAAAAUAACUGAUAACUACUGGAAAUCAGUACCAAUAUUAGACUGACUUGGCAUACAGCAUGGAGAAGGAGUGACUCAUUUUCUGUAAAGGUUUCUUAGGGGGGAAGUUUUUCAAGACCAAGAAAUAGAAUCAUGCUUCCCAGGGCAUGAACACAACAAGCACUGAUUAUGGGCUCACUCUCUCAAUGACAUCAGAUGGCAAGAGUCUGAAACUGACCUUUAAAUCUUACAAAUAGACCACAUGUACCCAUAUAAUUGGCAUGGAAAGGCUUCUACUCUCUCUCCUUAGGACCAUAUAAGGAGAUCCCAUUAAAUGAAGGAUUAAGACCUCUAUGCUUGCAAAGACUUUAAUGAUUCUAUGAUCUCAUGGAUAGAGUUCUCUUUCCAGUGGCAUAUAUCACAACUUGAACACUUUUUCAUCUAUUAUAGUGAAAGCCUAUAUAUUCCCAUGGAUCCUUCAUAAAAGAUCCACUAAUCCACCUUCUAGAAUGUUUUAAUCACAUGAGAAAUAAUAGAGCAAAACAAAGAAUUGACCUUCUUCCUUUUCUCCUGCUUUAUGACCAAGCUAUUUAUUUUUAUUACAUAUUCUCUAGAUAAUGUUUUGGUUACUUAACAUUUGCAAGUCUUUAUUGGUAAUAUAGUAUAGGAAAAUUUAUCAAAAUCUACCUCACUAAUGCUUUUUAAAGUGUUUAUAAUUUUGACUCUUCAGAGAUAGUGAUGUGUUGCAAUACAU